CCCCCCCCCCCCCCCCCCCCCCCCCCCCCCCCCCCCCCCCCCCCCCCCCCCCCCCCCCCCCCCCCCCCCCCCCCCCCCCCCCCCCCCCCCCCCCCCCCCCCCCCCCCCCCCCCCCCCCCCCCCCCCCCCCCCCCCCCCCCCCCCCCCCCCCCCCCCCCCCCCGGGGGGGCUGGCAGAUUUAGGGGGAGCUGGCAGAUUUUGGAGCUGGCAGAUUUUGGGGGGCCGGCAGAUUUUGGAGCUGGCAGAUUUUGGGGGGCUGUGACCCCCAGCCUGGGAAGGCUGGUCUUUCCCAGGGCUUGGCAGAGCUGGUGUUUUUUGGGGUGUUGGUCCAGGGUGAGCUGAUGCUGGGGGGGACAGAGGCAGAACGAGGGGUUCAUCCCCCAGAGUGGCCAAGUUUUGGUGCAGAGAGGAGGAGGAGGAGGAGGAGGAGGAGGAUGGGAGGGAGGAAGGGCACAGGGUGUGGCUCAGGUGGUGCUGCUGCCAGGACGGGGUGGGAGAUCCCCGCACACCCCUGGAGGAGAUGUGGGGGUGGAGCAGGACCCCAAAUGAUGGAUGGAACCUGAAACGGGGCAGGGCACGGUGAGGAGGGGGAUGGAUCCGUGGGGAUGGUCCCUCCUGCUCGGGGGGUGGUCAGCAGGGGACGGGGCGAGCCUGCUCCAGGUUUGGGGUGAGCCUGCUCCGGGUUUGGGGUGACCCUGCUCCAGGUUUGGGGUGAGCCUGCUCCAGGUUUGGGGUGAGCCUGCUCCAGGUUUGGGGUGAGCCUGCUCCAGGUUUGGGGUGAGCCUGCUCCAGGUUUGGGGUGAGCCUGCUCCAGGUUUGGGGUGAGCCUGCUCCAGGUUUGGGGUGAGCCUGCUCCAGGUUUGGGGUGAGCCUGCUCCAGGUUUGGGGUGAGCCUGCUCCAGGUUUGGGGUGAGCCUGCUCCAGGUUUGGGGUGAGCCUGCUCCAGGUUUGGGGUGAGCCUGCUCCAGGUUUGGGGUGAGCCUGCUCCAGGUUUGGGGUGAGCCUGCUCCAGGUUUGGGGUGAGCCUGCUCCAGGUUUGGGGUGAGCCUGCUCCAGGUUUGGGGUGAGCCUGCUCCGGGUUUGGGGUGAGCCUGCUCCAGGUUUGGGGUGAGCCUGCUCCGGGUUUGGGGUGAGCCUGCUCCAGGUUUGGGGUGAGCCUGCUCCGGGUUUGGGGUGAGCCUGCUCCAGGUUUGGGGUGAGCCUGCUCCGGGUUUGGGGUGAGCCUGCUCCAGGUUUGGGGUGAGCCUGCUCCGGGUUUGGGGUGAGCCUGCUCCAGGUUUGGGGUGAGCCUGCUCCGGGUUUGGGGUGAGCCUGCUCCAGGUUUGGGGUGAGCCUGCUCCGGGUUUGGGGUGAGCCUGCUCCAGGUUUGGGGUGAGCCUGCUCCGGGUUUGGGGUGAGCCUGCUCCAGGUUUGGGGUGAGCCUGCUCCGGGUUUGGGGUGAGCCUGCUCCAGGUUUGGGGUGAGCCUGCUCCGGGUUUGGGGUGAGCCUGCUCCAGGUUUGGGGUGAGCCUGCUCCGGGUUUGGGGUGAGCCUGCUCCAGGUUUGGGGUGAGCCUGCUCCGGGUUUGGGGUGAGCCUGCUCCAGGUUUGGGGUGAGCCUGCUCCGGGUUUGGGGUGAGCCUGCUCCAGGUUUGGGGUGAGCCUGCUCCGGGUUUGGGGUGAGCCUGCUCCAGGUUUGGGGUGAGCCUGCUCCGGGUUUGGGGUGAGCCUGCUCCAGGUUUGGGGUGAGCCUGCUCCGGGUUUGGGGUGAGCCUGCUCCAGGUUUGGGGUGAGCCUGCUCCGGGUUUGGGGUGAGCCUGCUCCAGGUUUGGGGUGAGCCUGCUCCGGGUUUGGGGUGAGCCUGCUCCAGGUUUGGGGUGAGCCUGCUCCGGGUUUGGGGUGAGCCUGCUCCAGGUUUGGGGUGAGCCUGCUCCGGGUUUGGGGUGAGCCUGCUCCAGGUUUGGGGUGAGCCUGCUCCGGGUUUGGGGUGAGCCUGCUCCAGGUUUGGGGUGAGCCUGCUCCGGGUUUGGGGUGAGCCUG
rnacentral:lncRNA from 12 species